rnacentral:rRNA from 1 species
UACAGAGGUCUCAAGCGUUGUUCGGAUUCAUUGGGCGUAAAGGGCGCGUAGGCGGCCAGCACAAGUCAGUUGUGAAAUCUCCGAGCUUAACUCGGAAAGGUCAACUGAUACUGUGCGGCUAGAGUGCGGAAGGGGCAACUGGAAUUCUUGGUGUAGCGGUGAAAUGCGUAGAUAUCAAGAGGAACACCUGCGGCGAAGGCGGGUUGCUGGGCCGACACGUGACGCUGGAGGCGCGAAAAGCCCAGGGGGAGCGAAACCGGG